rnacentral:lncRNA from 1 species
UCAAUAGCAAACAUUAGUUGCAAAUAUCCUUCACUUGUGUUUUCUCACUAUUGGUAUGGUAGAUAAUUGUUUGUUCACUUGUGUUGAGAUAGUCCAUGUUUGCUCACGUGUGUCGAGGUAGAUAAUGACCUAAUCGGGUGUUGCUAGGAGGUUGUGCAAAUAUGUAGUUCUGAGUAGAUUAGAGUUUUAAACUCCCUUCAGUUAUGUAAGGUGAGAUUUGAAGCUUUUUAUUUCUUAUUUGACUAGUUAGAGUGUCGUAUUAGUUAUGAUUUUGUCUUGGCACUUUUAUAAUUAUAAACCACUUGCUUUAUAUUAAACUUUUGGAUAGUUCUUUGAAAUUGUAUGUUGCUAUUUUUCUCUCUUCAAUUCUAUAGUAUAUUUGCUUCAUGGAAGAGUUAUGUGCUAAUUAACUUGUUCAAUGUCUUCUGGAUGAACUGAUUAUCAUAUUUCUUCUGGAUAUGCCCAAUGAUGAAUGCUCAUUGUGAGAUAUGGUACUGUGAAUAUUAUUCAAAGCCUUCCAUCUCUUCUGCCUUUCUUCCCACUGCCAUCACUAACUUUGCUGCUGCUGCUGCUCUUCUUCUUCUUCCACUUCCUCUUUUUCUUCUUGUUGUGGUUAUUGUCAUUAUUAUUAUUAUUAUUAUUAUUAUUUAUUGCUGGCAGUGGGUAGAGAUGGUGGAGGUUGUGGGUCUUAUGUGCUUUGAUGGAUGUUGAAAAAAUACCAAUUGGAGAUAUCUGAGGGCAUAGUUGGUUCUUUUGAGUUAGAAAUUUAGAAUAAUUAUCAUACAUUACUUCUGUCUCACAAACAAUCAAGCUAUGUGGUUCGCAUGUUCUUAUUUAUGCUUUUUUUUUUUGCUAACUUGAUUGUUCUUGUGUUUCAUGAUGUCUUGUCACUAAUGUGUUAUGGUGCUUCUUCUGCCUUCCCUCCCUUUUUCUGUGUUAUGUUUGAUGCCCGUUCAUGUUUAGGUGUAAUGAUUGAUGAGGAGGGUAUAGAAGGUUUCAGUGUUUGUAACCUGACACUGGCUUCAGCCCUCGUUUUUUUUUUUUUUUUACUUAUUCUGCUAUUUAAGUUAUUUUUAAAUUUCUAUUCAAUCCCCUAUAUAGAGGCAAUAAAAUUUGAUCAUUGCGGUUCUUUAAAAAACUGCUAAAGUAAAUUUGUUGAGACGGACAGAAAAGUGGUUUCGAUAUUAAACUUGAGCAGCAGGUCCGAUUAUUGCUUAUUGUGGUUGUUGCUAAAGAUGUUGGCUCGGAAAUACUCUUGAUCUGUAAUUUUUUCUUGUUCUGUCUUCCAUUUGGAUAGAGUUUUAUAGAGGAGACGUCAUGUUUAUGGGAAAAAUGUGCACUGCUCGGUUUUGAAAUUAUUUGCUUAAAUUCAGGCGAAAUACGGUCGUCAGAUUGGGAAAAAUGAGAUAAAUAAUUAGAUUGACUCACUUCCAUUCCAUCAAGCAAAAACUUAGAUCCCUACCAAAAAAAGGCAUUAUCACUGAUGCUGUAUAGUCUUUUUAACUAGAAUUAUGCUAAUUUAUUUUAUUCUAAUUUUUACUAUCAUCCAACGCAAGGUUCUGAGAUUAUUCAAUGUUUUUUAGUAAUCUCAAUUUGAAGUCUUGGAUUUGCAACUGCAAAUACUUAAAAGAGAAAGUUUUAUC